GGGGAUUUAGCUCAGCGGCAUAAGCACCUGCCUUGUAAGCAGGCAGUUCGAUCCCCG
rfam:Cavia porcellus supercont2_82 genomic scaffold, whole genome shotgun sequence.